rnacentral:rRNA from 1 species
UCAUCUUCGGGGGUAGAGCACUGUUUCGGCUAGGGGGUCAUCCCGACUUACCAACCCGAUGCAAACUACGAAUACCGAAGAAUGUUAUCACGGGAGACACACGGCGGGUGCUAACGUCCGUCGUGAAGAGGGAAACAACCCAGACCGCCAGCUAAGGUCCCAAAGUCAUGGUUAAGUGGGAAACGAUGUGGGAAGGCACAGACAGCCAGGAUGUUGGCUUAGAAGCAGCCAUCAUUUAAAGAAAGCGUAAUAGCUCACUGGUCGAGUCGGCCUGCGCGGAAGAUGUAACGGGGCUAAACCAUGCACCGAAGCUGCGGCAGCGACACGAUGUGUUGUUGGGUAGGGGAGCGUUCUGUAAGCCUGCGAAGGUGGCCUGUGAGGGUUGCUGGAGGUAUCAGAAGUGCGAAUGCUGACAUAAGUAACGAUAAAGCGGGUGAAAAGCCCGCUCGCCGGAAGACCA